UACAGAGGUCUCAAGCGUUGUCCGGAUUCAUUGGGCGUAAAGGGUGCGUAGGCGGCGCGGUAAGUCGGGUGUGAAAUCUCGGAGCUUAACUCCGAAACUGCAUUCGAUACUGCCGUGCUUGAGGACUGGAGAGGAGACUGGAAUUUACGGUGUAGCGGUGAAAUGCGUAGAUAUCGUAAGGAAGACCAGUGGCGAAGGCGGGUCUCUGGACAGUUCCUGACGCUGAGGCACGAAGGUCAGGGGAGCAAACGGG
rnacentral:rRNA from 1 species